CCUACGGGAGGCAGCAGUAGGGAAUCUUCCACAAUGGGCGAAAGCCUGAUGGAGCAACGCCGCGUGGGUGAAGAAGGUCUUCGGAUCGUAAAACCCUGUUGUUAGAGAAGAAAGUGCGUGUGAGUAACUGUGCACGUUUCGACGGUAUCUAACCAGAAAGCCACGGCUAACUACGUGCCAGCAGCCGCGGUAAUACGUAGGUGGCAAGCGUUAUCCGGAGUUAUGGGGCGUAAAGGGAACGCAGGCGGUCUUUUAAGUCUGAUGUGAAAGCCUUCGGCUUAACCGGAGUAGUGCAUUGGAUACUGGGAGACUUGAGUGCAGAAGAGGAGAGUGGAACUCCAGGUGUAGCGGUGAAAUGCGUAGAUAUAUGGAGGAACACCAGUGGCGAAAGCGGCUAUCUGGUCUGUAACUGACGCUGAGGUUCGAAAGCGUGGGUAGCAAACAGGAUUAGAUACCCCUGUAGUC
rnacentral:rRNA from 1 species